UACUCAGUGGCUAUAUGGCUGUCUUCUGUA
rnacentral:piRNA from 1 species